rnacentral:misc_RNA from 1 species
GGUUUGUUUAGUACUAUUUUGACAUGGGAAAAGGUCCUGUUGUUAGUGAUUAACAUUUUUUGAGGAACUACUUAACCAAGGCAGUAUGAGGCGAGUCGGAUACUGGCUGAGUGAAAAGAAGAAGAAGAGACUCAAUUUUGAGGACCAAAUACCAACCUUUAGAGAUGCAGGGAUAGAGCUUGUUAAACUGAACAUCGAUAAGAGCCUGGAGCUCCAGGGGCCGUUUGAUCUGAUCCUCCACAAGUGUACGCUGUUUAUGGUCGACGCUGAGGAUGGUGACGAACAGUCGUUAGACGCCAUCAACAAUAUCAAGGAGUAUAUAUCUAGUCAUCCAGACUGUAUUCUUGUGGAUUCUUUUGAGUCCAUCGAAAAACUGAUCGACAGACAUGAACAAUACAAGCUUUUACUUCAAUGCAAUCUCCUUAAGUCAGAAUCUGUUGUGUACACGCCCACUUUUGUUGAGUUGUCAACUAAAGACAGAGAAACCAAUAAACAGAGGCUGCAUGAGGCUGAGGUCAAGUAUCCUUUUGAUGGCGAUCAUCUUCAAUGAGCAGGGACUGGAGGAUAUCCAGCCCCCCUGCGUAGCCCAGACCUUUCAUAACCACAAUGCAGUCUUAUACAAAGUGUUUGUUAUUGGGGAGAAACAUCACAUCGUAGAGAGACCCUCAAUCAAAAACUUUGCUGCCAUGGACCGAUCAACCAUUUACUUUGAUUCAAAUGAUGUGUCAAAGCCAAACUGUGCAAAUUUUUUGACAGAGCUUGAUAAAGAGGACCUGUUACGCACCCCUAUCACUCCCGAUGACGAGAUUUUGGGAGAUCUUGCGAAUGCAGUAAGACGGGAACUGAAGAUGGAGCUGUUUGGGAUCGACGUCAUCAUUGAUUGUGAUACCAAGAAAUACGCUGUGAUAGACAUAAACGCAUUUCCAGGUUAUGAAGGUGUUGAAAACUUUAUGGAGAUUCUGUGUGACUUACUAAAUUCUUUGAUGGAUAAGAAUGAUAAAGUGAAAACUGAGAAUGAGCGACUGAGUAGGAAGCGAUCCGAGAGCUCGGAAGCAGGGGACAUUAAGAAACCGAAGUUAAGCAACGGAAACUCAGGGCUCCAACCUGCAGUGUGUUUUGAAAGAAACCCUGAUACUCAUGAAGGUGAUAUGUUGUUACCAUGGAAACAACCAAUCAAUGGUCUUUUAGAACACUAAAAAUGGCCAUCAUGCAACUGAGGGAACAAUUUCAACACCUUUUAUUUUAUACAAAGAUUUUUUUUUUAUAUAUUGGGUGUUCUUGAAAGUAUACAUGAAAAUUUAUAGUUUUAUCCAUCCAAACAACUUUCUAAUAUGCAGUGUUAUCGCACCCCAAGUAGUAUUUCAAUACUGAUUGCAUUGAUUUAAUAGCAAUAACUGAAAUUAGUAAUAAAAAUUCCUGGUGGCUUCCAAUAGAAAGAUAAGUGUGACAAAUCAGCAUCAGUAGUCAAAAUUUACUAAACCUUUUAAACUACAGCAUUUAGGAUCUAAAACCUGGCCAAAUUGAUUGUGGUAUUAGAAUAAUUAAACUUUGGUUACCGUAGCUGUUCCAUAAUGUGGACAAACUUUGUGCAAUGAUUCUUCAAAAAAAUAAGUCAGACUGGCAUUUACCUGUAUUAAUGGUUUGUGAAUAUAGUCAAAUAUUUAUCAAUGAUUCUUCAACCUAUAAGAGUGUACAAUGUAUGUAUAGACAAGAUUUGAUUGAAGUUUAACAAAUACCAUUAAUCAAAUGAUAUAUUGUAAUCUAUUCUUGUCUAGUUCAUUAGAUUUCAUCUUGUAUAUUUCUCCAGAUUCUCGUUCUGUCAUGCAGUGUGUGGUGAUACAUACCAUUUAACUUAUAAAUUAAGUCAGACACAUCCAUGACAAUGCAGGAAGUUUGAAAUAUGAAUAUUAACCUUUUUGUACUGGCUGUGGAAAGGUAGGAAGUGUUCAAAUCCUCUUGAUGUGUAAAACCAAGCAAUGUUCAAAAUGAAAUACUUGUGUAAGUUUUGAUGAACUUACAGGAUCAGAGUCAUUAGUCAGGGCAUUCUCUAUGUAAACAUACAUAUUUAUGAUUAUUUAUGGCUUGAUUAAACUUGUGAGUUUGAAUCAG